rnacentral:rRNA from 1 species
AGCGAACGCUGGCGGCAGGCCUAACACAUGCAAGUCGAACGAACUCUUCGGAUAUAUUUGCGGACUGGUGAGUAACCCGUGGGAACGUUCCUUUUUGUUCGGAAUAACUCAGGGAAACUUGUGCUAAUUCCGAAUGUGCCCUUCUGGGGAAUGAUUUCUCUCCAUUCGAGCGUCCCGCUUCUGAUUAGCUAUUUGGUGAGGUAACGGCUCACCAAGGCGACGAUCAGUAGCUGGUCUGAGAGGAUGACCAGCAACACUGGGACUGUGACCCGGCAGAGAAUCCUACGGGAGGCAGGAGUGGGGAAUCGUGCGAAAUGGGCGAAAGCAUGACGCAGCCAUGACGGGUGAAUGAUGAAGGUAUUAGGAUUGUAAAAUGAUUUCACAGGGGACGAUAAGGAAGGUACCCGGAGAAGAAGCCCAGGCUAAAUUAGUG